rnacentral:tRNA from 1 species
AAAGGAUUAGUUAAUUAUAUAACAUCAGAAUGUCAAACUGAAGUAAUCAAUCAAAGAUAUCCUUUU